CACGUAGGCGGCUUUUUAAGUCAGGGGUGAAAUCCCGGGGCUCAACCCCGGAACUGCCCUUGAAACUGGGAAGCUAGAAUCUUGGAGAGGCGAGUGGAAUUCCGAGUGUAGAGGUGAAAUUCGUAGAUAUUCGGAAGAACACCAGUGGCGAAGGCGACUCGCUGGACAAGUAUUGACGCUGAGGUGCGAAAGCGUGGAGAGCAAACA
rnacentral:rRNA from 1 species